GCCAGUGUAGUAUAGUGGUUUGAGUAUUAGACUAGGACUCUGGAGACCAGGGUUCAAUUCCCAGCUUGGCCA